GCCCACAUGAGCACGUAGCAGAAGGUAGUCAUCUGCAAACGAAGGAAAGGCCUCAUAAGACCUCAGCGUAGCAAGUAAGACCUGAAUCUUGGACUUCCAGCUCCUAAAACCGUGAGUCAAUGAAUUUUUGUUCUUAUAGACACGAAGGAAAGGCCUCACAAGACCUCAGCGUAGCAAGUAAGACCUGAAUCUUGGACUUCCAGCUCCUAAAACCGUGAGUCAAUGAAUUUUUGUUCUUAUAGACACGAAGGAAAGGCCUCACAAGACCUCAGCGUAGCAAGUAAGACCUGAAUCUUGGACUUCCAGCUCCUAAAACCGAAUUGUAGUACCUUUAGCCAGCAUCAUAACGUGGAAAAUAAAACGUGUGAGAAUGUGUAAGGAUUCCAAAAACUGUAGCCUUGGAUGAGUAUCCAGUGUUAAACGGUGGCAACUCUGAUGAGAAAAUUCAAACAUACAUCUGGCAACACAGUAAGAGGAUGCCACUGGAACUGAAUAGCUGACACCCCCUGUAUAUGGGACAUGACCUCUGGAGCACAAUUUAAUCUGAAGCAGAGUAAUAGUUUUGUGUUUUAAUACAGUCUAUCUUGUGCAGAAAAGACCUAUUGUGUAACAUAAAACGGAAUGCACCAUGUGUAAAAGAAGAAAACUAGUGGAAAUAUCAGACAAUGUAGUUUAAUAAAGAUUAUGUAAUGCGUAGCAUAAUAUUUUAAUUAGAUAUAUUAUAAUUUCAAAAGAAAUAUAACAUGAAUAAAUAAAAAUUUAAUAGAAAUUUGUUACUCCUUUGAUUUAAUACCAGAAGGUAAAUUCAAGUAUCUGUCCAUCUUCAUAAUAAUUGAAAGUUUUAAAUCCUUAUGUAUGUAUGUAUUCAAUCUUUAAAACUCCAAUUUUUGGAAAGUAAUUCAGGCCAUCACUUAUUUCAUUUCUGGAAUCUGAUAUCAGUAUAGCAAAUUUGGACAUGUUAUUCCUUUCCGAAUGAAUUAAAGGCACAUAUUUGUAUAACUACUUUUGAACUCAUUUACAGAGAAUUAUUCAAAGUGUUUAUUCCAAUGAAUUAUAAUGCCAAUUUUAAAAAAGCCAAGUCUUUGAUCCAAACUUUCCUAGUGAGCUGACAUAGAUAUCUUCUCUCCGAUGGUAUUAACAAGUUAGUGUCUUUCAUCAGUAAUAGUCAUCUCUUUGUGUCUUAUACCAACAUUGUUACCUGAUCCCUCUGUAGUGCAACAGACCAUUACAUCCACUAGGCAAUCUUGCUCCAGAGUGGAUUGCACGUGAUAAAAUUUCAGAUUUAAAAUGAACGUUAUUUUAAAUGUGUUUUAAAUUAUUUACCAUUCUAUUAUGUUUAAAGAGUACUCAUUCGUACCACAGUGCUAAGUACUCAUUCAUACCACCAUUCCAGAUACAUAUGAAAGUACUAUCACUUUACUGAGAAGGAGACCAAGAUACAGAGCAGUUGUUUUCCAAGACUAGAAUGGAAAUGAUGGACCCAGGAUUCCCUGUGACUCCAGAGCUUGUGCUCUGGUAUUCAUAAUGCUUCUCUUUGUAGUUUAAGGGGUGGGUUACCUGUAUAUACAUAUGCACAUUUAAAAAUCUAUCAAUUAUUUAUGUUAUACAUUGUGAGGAAGUAUAUGUGAGGAAUGACUUGGCAUAUCCUUAUAGCAGUUUACUAUAUGUUUUAUGCACAUAAGAGGGUGGAUUUGAAGACAGUCCAUGUUAGUGAUCAGAGGAAAAUCACUCAAAUCCUCCAAAUCUCAGGUUCUUCUGUAAAAUGGGAUUAAACAUGAAGUUGCUAUGAGGAUUAUCUGAGAUGAUAAACAUUAAGGCAGUCAUUUAGUAACUUGUAGGGAACUAUCAAUAAACUUUUCCCUGAUAGAAGAGAUCUGUUACAUGCACUGAAAAUAUAUUCUCACAUUCUGGCUUUUCACUUUCUUAAUGGUAUCUUCUGAUGAACAAAAAUUCUUUAAUAUGCAUUUUAAGUAUAAAGUUAAAAAGAAUGGCACAUGUCAAAACUGUACAAAAGUGAUGUUUCAUUAAAAGUGAGCCCACUAUGUAAGCAGCACUUAGAAAUAAAACUAGAAUAUUACCAGCUCCUCAAAGUCUCCCUCAUCCUAAUUCCUGCCACUCUUCAAAAGAUGAUCAUUAUCCUAACACCAAAGAACAUUUGUACCUAUUCUUAAACUUUAUAUAAGUGACAUCAUAGAGUGUGCACUGUUUUUCUGCCUGGAUCCUUUUACUUGAAAUUAUAUUUGUGUGAUUCAAAAAUGUUGAUGCAUGUCAUUGUGCUUUGUUCAUUUUUAUUGCUGUGUAGAAAUCUCUCAUGCUAAUAUUAUUGACCUCUUGUUUCACUAAAGAACAUGUAGGUUGUUUUCAGUUUAGAGUUACAAUAAAUAGUGCUGCUCUAAACAUACUUCUGUAUGUAUCUUGCCAAACAGAUGUGCAAAUUUCUCUGGGGUGAAUAUCUGGGAGUAGAAUUGACUGUUCCUAACAUAUGAACAUAUUUAGCUUUAUUACAUAUGGCUAAACUGUUUUCCAGAGUAGCCAUAUGGAUUUAUAAUUCCACCAGGAGUGUAUGUGUGUUCCCGUUACUCCUAACGCUUCCACUUUAGUAACUGCAUUGAUAAUUGCAAUUUUCGUUUAGACAUUUGAGUUGCUGCAUGCUAAUAUUGCUCUGUGUGAUUAAUUUGAAGUUCUUUGAUAUCCAAAGCAGGUCAUCACCAUCUUUUAUGCCUUGGC